rnacentral:rRNA from 1 species
UUCGACCUCAAAUCAGGUAGGACUACCCGCUGAACUUAAGCAUAUCAAUAAGCGGAGGAAAAGAAACCAACAGGGAUUGCCUUAGUAGCGGCGAGUGAAGCGGCAAAAGCUCAAAUUUGAAAUCUGGCACUUUCAGUGUCCGAGUUGUAAUUUGAAGAAGGUAUCUUUGGCUUGGCUUUGUCUAUUGUUU